CCUACGGGAGGCAGCAGUGGGGGAUAUUGGACAAUGGGCGAAAGCCUGAUGCAGCGACGCCGCGUGUGGGAAGACGGCCCUCUGGAUUGUAAACCACUGUUCCCAGGGAGGAAGAUCAGGAUAUCUGGGGAGGAAGCACCGGCUAACAACGUGCCAGCAGCUGCGGUAAUACGAAGGGAGCGAGUGUUGUCCGGAAUGCAUGGGUGUAAAGGGAGCGUAGGGGGGACUGCAAGUUGGGUGUCAAAUCUACCGGCUCAACCGGGUGCCGCACUCAAAACUGCAGUUCUUGAGUGAAGGAGAGGCAGGCGGAAUUCCUGGUGUAGCGGGGAAAUGCGUAGAUAUUAGGAAGAACACCAGUGGCGAAGGCAGCCUGCUGGGCUUUAACUGACGCUGAGGCUCGAAAGUGUGGGGAGCAAACAGGAUUAGAUACCCUAGUAGUC
rnacentral:rRNA from 1 species